rnacentral:rRNA from 1 species
UACAGAGGAUGCAAGCGUUAUCCGGAAUGAUUGGGCGUAAAGCGUCUGUAGGUGGCUUUUUAAGUCCGCCGUCAAAUCCCAGGGCUCAACUCUGGACAGGCGGUGGAAACUACCAAGCUGGAGUACGGUAGGGGCAGAGGGAAUUUCCGGUGGAGCGGUGAAAUGCGUAGAGAUCCGGAAGAACACCGGUGGCGAAGGCGGUCUGCUGGGCAGUAGCUGACACUGAGGCGCGACAGCGUGGGGAGCAAACAGG